GGAACUGUGUGGAUUAAUUGCUUUGAUGUUUUUGAUGCUGCAAUUCCUUUUGGAGGGUACAAGAUGAGUGGCAUUGGCAGGGAGAAGGGAAUUUACAGUCUCAACAAUUACCUGCAAGUUAAAGCUGUGGUUUCACCAUUGAAGAAUCCUGCAUGGCUGUGAAUCACUGAAUUGCUCAUACUUCUAUCAUUUUGUUCUUUAAGAGUCCUUUUGUAAUUAUGACAUCAUUUUCCACUGAGGCAAUGGCAUGCAUAAUGAAGGGUUGACUUUAAAAUAUAAGGUUAAGUGAUUAUGCAGAAUGUUAAACUAUAAUAUUCCUUAUAUUCAGAGUCCAAACAAUACAAAUUUAUGAGAAAUGCAUGUUUUUUUAAUGCAUUUUAUUGGUAUUAAUUGUUAUUGAUAGAGAUUUCGCUUGAACUAAUAAAUAAGUUGUAACUCAAUUUUAUAGAGUUGAGUUAAGUUGAAAAUUGAGAUGUAAAUAAAAGUAAUGCGGAUCGGUCCUAUUGAAUGUAAUUCAUUUUUCUGUUUUUUUUUUUUUAAGGAAAAGACACUAAAAGGGAGAGAAACACAAACAGCUUAAGCACCGUUGCAGAAAUUGAUGAUCUAGUCACACCACCUGUGGAAAUAAGAUACACUAAAAAUCUAAUAAAUGGGGAGUUUGUGGAUGCUGUGUCAGGAAAAACAUUUCCUACAUAUGACCCGCGAACUGGGGAAGUGAUUGCUAACGUUGCUGAAGGUGACCAAGAAGAUAUCAAUCGUGCAGUGUCUGCAGCUCGAAAGGCUUUUGAUGAGGGACCAUGGCCAAAGAUGACCCCUUAUGUAUGAACUUCCCCUGCCUCCUACAUCUUUGGUUUCAUAUUGCAAUUACAAAUCCAAUGCGAUUAUUGAAAGACUUUAUAGAUAGAGAUUUUUAUACUAUCUUUCAAUAGAAAAGGUUAUUAAUAUAACUUUUAUAGUAAUUAUUAAAAAAUCAACAAUGAUACAAUAUACGAGAAUUUAUGAUUAAAUGGUUAAUUCUUGAUACUUAAUAGCCUAAAAAUUAUUUAGGCUUAACUGUAUUAUUUGUUAUUUGUAAAUGUUGUCAUCAAAUUUUUGAAAUUGUACAUUUUAUUUCUCAAAUUUUAAAAUUUUAAACAUUUUGUUAUUUCAUUAAUUGUCUAUUUGAUUUUGUUAUGUGAUAUGACAUUUUAAUAUAUUAUAUCAUAUUAUCAUCUCUAUGUUACAUCAAUAAUUAAUGUAACAUGUCAAUAAUCAAUAUUUUACAUUAAUAAUAGUGUUAUACUAUUAACUAUGUGUCAAAACAUGUGAAAUUUUAAAAAUUAGGUGACAAAAUGUACAAUUUUAGAAGUUAGGUAACAAAUUGCAAAAAGUGAAAUUAAGGGCAUCUCUAAUGCAAGUAACUCAUUUGAAUUGCUUCAUGCAUUAAAAAAUGAAAAAAGUAGUCUCUAGUGUGUCAUGUCAACAUUAAGCAACUCAAUCACAAAUUUACAUCGAUGGUAAGAAACUUUAAGAAAUUCAACUUUUAUAAUUUUUUUUCUAAUCAUUUAUGAACCAAAUUUAAAUUUUUAUUAAAAAAGAUAAUUACACUACCAUGAAAGAAAAUAAAUUACGAGAAAAAAUACACAAUAAGUAGAUAUUAAAAAUAAAAUAAAACAAUAGUAAAUACAUAAACAAUAUAAGAAAUUAAUUUUCAUCAUUAUUAUUUUCGAAAUGUUCUCAAAUAUGUUUAAUAAGAUCUGCUUGAAAUCUGGUAAGGAAUGGUUACUUGAGGAAGCAACUCUCUCUCUUCUUCAAGCAACUCAUGUUGCCACGUCAGAAUCUUCCAAUGACAAGAAACCGGGACUUGAGUUAAUUCAUGGGACAAGCAACUCCUAUUGGAAUUGCUCUAAGUCAAAUAUUACAUUAUGAGAUGAUUCUAAUUAAAUUCUUAUUAAAAUUAAAAAUAAA